rfam:Otolemur garnettii contig161759, whole genome shotgun sequence.
GCCUGGCAUGUGGCACAUGCCUGUAGUUGCAGCUUCUCAUGAGGCUGAGGUAGGAGGAUUGCUUGGACUCAGGAGUUCUGGGCUGGAGUGCACUGUGUCAGUUGGGUGUCCGUACUGAACUUGACGUUAAUACAGUGACCUUCUCGGAGUGUGGGAUCUAAGGAGGUUGCCUGAGGAGGGGGAACCAACUCAGGGUCAACCUAGAGCAGGUCAAAACUCCCUUGCUGAUUGGUAAUGUGAUUGGGCCUUUGAAAAACCACUGCACUCCAGCCUGGCAACACAGUGAGACCUCAUCUGU